UCCCUCUUGCGGCCCACGUGCAGGGAGGGAGGCGGCGGGAGCCCCGGCCGGAGAAGCGAGGUUUCUGUGCAGGAAAAAUGCGGGGUCUUGGCCGGUCCGCUUAAAACCGCCUCUGUUCCCGCUCUUUCUCCCUCCUCGAACGUCGUGGUGUCGGUGCUGGAAAGGUGACCUCAGUGAAGUACAUCAUCAGCGAAUGAGAACCAGGGAGACGGAAGGCAGACGGGGCACCGCCAGGUUGGGGGUUAUCCCAAGUCACCUUCACCGCGACGACUCGAGUGUGUCCGUGGAAAGUGUGAACUCUGGCUUUGGCGUUUAAAGGCAUAUCCUGAGCUUAAUGCGGGAAACUCUCUGUAACCAUGACAUUUGAUGACUGGCCUUAUAUUUUUCAAAGCAAGAGUGGGAGCUCCUGGAGAAGUGGCAGAAAGAAAUGUAUCAACAGGUGAUGAAGACCAAUUAUGAGACCCUUGAUUCCCUGGGGUGUGUUUCUUCCAAGCCGGCUUCGAUCGCCUGGACGGAACAAGGGAGAAUGCUGUCCAUCGGAGACCGGGGGUGCUCGCAGAAGACAAGAACGACUCAGCCCUUCUGCCGACGAGCACUUGGACUUGGACUUGGACACUCACCAUGUUUGAGUGACCGAGGAACUCUCAGCGCCAAAGAAGAGGAAUGCUAUUUAAAUAGUCUCCAGAGCUCAUGUGCCACCUUACCAGGGGAGGAAAGAAGGUCUUCCACGAAGAGAGAGACUUGGCAAAACACAGAAGGAACCACUCCAAGAGCCAGCCCUGUCAACAUCCAAAGUACAAGAGCAAAUCCAGGAGCUCUGACCUGAGGGGCACCCGGCGGUCCUGUGCAGGAAGCAGCGUUCCCAGCGCGGUG